CCUACGCGGGGCAGCAGUGGGGGAUAUUGGACAAUGGGGGGAACCCUGAUCCAGCGACGCCGCGUGAGUGAAGAAGUAUUUCGGUAUGUAAAGCUCUGUCAGCAGGGAAGAAAGAAAUGACGGUACCUGACCAAGAAGCCCCGGCUAACUACGUGCCAGCAGCCGCGGUAAUACGUAGGGGGCAAGCGUUAUCCGGAAUUACGGGGUGUAAAGGGGGCGUAGACGGUUAAGUAAGUCUGGAGUGAAAGGCCGGGGCCCAACCCCGGGACUGCUCUGGAAACUAUUGAACUUGAGUGCAGGAGAGGUAAGCGGAAUUCCUAGUGUAGCGGUGAAAUGCGUAGAUAUUAGGAGGAACACCAGUGGCGAAGGCGGCUUACUGGACUGUAACUGACGUUGAGGCUCGAAAGCGUGGGGAGCAAACAGGAUUAGAUACCCUUGUAGUC
rnacentral:rRNA from 1 species